rnacentral:lncRNA from 1 species
GAUCAGAAUUAGAAAAAAAAAAUUGCAGAUUCAAAGAAUACUUGCAAGUUACAGAAUUUGAUCUUUAUUCAUUUGAAUUUCUAUUUCGAUUUGGAAAUCUUUCUUCAUUCCUAAAAAAAAAAAAAAAAAAAUUCUAGUCUUUGCUUAUGAUUAAAGUGCAUUACACACACCUUUAAAUUGGCCUAUCUUUUGUUUGCUUUUAAAGCUAUCCAAUUUCACUAUUUGUUUUUUGAAUUGCCAUAAUCUGAAUUGUUUGUUUAGGUACCUUAGUUAAUCUAAGAACUCAAAUAAGAAAACAAGAGAGGUAAAAGGCAAGAGUGGUAAGAUCAAUAUAGAGAAAAGCCAAAAAAAAUUGUGUGAAACACGAGUGGAGUGAAUCAAAUCUAGAGUGAAAAAAAAAAAAACGUGAGGGAGUGUUGGUGAGAUUGUUCUAACUUUGUUUUUCAGGUUAUAUACAUGUCUAAAGAUAAAGAAGCGAGUUCUUCAUCCAAUGAUCUUUU